rnacentral:rRNA from 1 species
UAGAGUUUGAUCCUGGCUCAGGAUGAACGCUGGCGGCGUGCCUAAUACAUGCAAGUCGAACGCACAGCGAAAGGUGCUUGCACCUUUCAAGUGAGUGGCGAACGGGUGAGUAACACGUGGAUAACCUACCUCAAGGUUGGGGAUAACAUUUGGAAACAGAUGCUAAUACCGAAUAAAACUUAGUAUCGCAUGAUACCAGGUUAAAAGGCGCUACGGCGUCACCUAGAGAUGGAUCCGCGGUGCAUUAGUUAGUUGGUGGGGUAAAGGCUUACCAAGACAAUGAUGCAUAGCCGAGUUGAGAGACUGAUCGGCCACAUUGGGACUGAGACACAGCCCAAACUCCUACGGGAGGCUGCAGUAGGGAAUCUUCCACAAUGGGCGAAAGCCUGAUGGAGCAACGCCGCGUGUGUGAUGAAGGCUUUCGGGUCGUAAAGCACUGUUGUAUGGGAAGAACAGCUAGAGUAGGGAAUGACUUUAGUUUGACGGUACCAUACCAGAAAGGGACGGCUAAAUACGUGCCAGCAGCCGCGGUAAUACGUAUGUCCCGAGCGUUAUCCGGAUUUAUUGGGCGUAAAGCGAGCGCAGACGGUUAAUUAAGUCUGAUGUGAAAGCCCGGAGCUCAACUCCGGAAAGGCAUUGGAAACUGGUUAACUUGAGUGCAGUAGAGGUAAGUGGAACUCCAUGUGUAGCGGUGGAAUGCGUAGAUAUAUGGAAGAACACCAGCGGCGAAGGCGGCUUACUGGACUGUAACUGACGUUGAGGCUCGAAAGUGUGGGUAGCAAACAGGAUUAGAUACCCUGGUAGUCCACACCGUAAACGAUGAACACUAGGUGUUAGGAGGUUUCCGCCUCUUAGUGCCGAAGCUAACGCAUUAAGUGUUCCGCCUGGGGAGUACGACCGCAAGGUUGAAACUCAAAGGAAUUGACGGG